AUACGGAGGGUGCAAGCGUUAAUCGGAAUUACUGGGCGUAAAGCGCACGCAGGCGGUCAAUUAAGUCAGAUGUGAAAGCCCCGAGCUUAACUUGGGAAUUGCAUCUGAAACUGGUUGGCUAGAGUCUUGUAGAGGGGGGUAGAAUUCCACGUGUAGCGGUGAAAUGCGUAGAGAUGUGGAGGAAUACCGGUGGCGAAGGCGGCCCCCUGGACAAAGACUGACGCUCAGGUGCGAAAGCGUGGGGAGCAAACAGGAUUAGAUACCCUGGUAGUCCACGCUGUAAACGAUGUCGAUUUAGAGGUUGUGGUCUUGAACCGUGGCUUCUGGAGCUAACGCGUUAAAUCGACCGGCUGGGGAGUACGGCCGCAAGGUUAAAACUCAAAUGAAUUGGCGGGG
rnacentral:rRNA from 1 species